rnacentral:rRNA from 1 species
UACGUAGGGAGCAAGCGUUGUCCGGAAUCAUUGGGCGUAAAGCGCGCGUAGGUGGCCAUGUAAGUCCGCUGUGAAAGUCAAAGGCUCAACCUUUGAAAGCCGGUGGAUACUGCAUGGCUAGAGUACGGAAGAGGCGAGUGGAAUUCCUGGUGUAGCGGUGAAAUGCGCAGAUAUCAGGAGGAACACCAAUAGCGAAGGCAGGCUCGCUGGGACGGUACUGACGCUGAGGCGCGAAAGCGUGGGGAGCGAACAGG